GCCAGUGUGAGGGCGUAUUAGCGAGACGUGGUCUCGGUGGAGGGGAUGGAGGAGUUAAGCGUACGUACGAGAUGACGACCGACGAACAUAACUGCUCAGGCAGGCGAGCAGGUGGGAGUGCAUGUCAGAUUUUAGAUGCAACGACGCAAUGUUUGUCGGUAGUCGCGCAUUUACACUCUACUGGUGUCGUUACAGUGUUUUUUCACCUCUGUGUUUUAUUAAAUUUUCAUAAUUUUCAAUUAUUCGUGACGUGUGAUCAGCCACGAUAAUUUGCUUCGUCCACUAUUAAUUCUUAUUCCACGCACAGUGUGUUUUAAAUAAUCACUUCAUUCACAAUUUUCUAAGUUACGAUAAAGUGGAGAAAUAAUAAUUACCUAAUAGUGUUACAUACUUCGCGUGCCUUUCGUUUUGACCACGUACGAAGGAAUAGAAGUGCCUAUCGAUGCGACAUUCAGACAAGGAGCAACGUUGCAAUAUUUCGGAUGCUGUGACAACGUCGCACACACCAUAAUGUGUUUUCAGUUUUUUAAAUGUACGUACUAGUUUAGUACAGUCGCCGCUGGGUAUAGCCAAGACAUCUUUUAUAUACUUCUUAUAAUGCCUAAUGCGAAAUUUAGUUAUAAUUAAAAUAUUUACAUGCCAAAACGCACGUAAAGUGUAAUAUGUAAUUUUAUAUUUAAAAAACAAAAAAAAAAAAAAAGACCGUCCAAUGGCAUUUGAUAGUGCAAAACAACCAUGGGUAUUUGAUGCGACGGCAACGCAGCAACGACUAUCCCCUCUUUUUUAUAGAACGAGCCACUGUUUCCCCUCCAUACGUUGGGUUAGCCCCCUCCAAUGACCUCCCAAUAGGUCGCACACUCAUUAGCCCAGUCGCGCGCGAUUCUCCCCUUCUACUCGGCGCUGCCGCAUGUCUCUGGCCGAUCAGCUGGUCGGCCACGCGACGUUGCCUCGCUGCUUCGGCUUGCGCUCUGCUCACCGUUCAGCCACGCGGUUUUCCGUGCACACCGCUUCGGGUAAGGUUAGGCAUGUUUCCCCGAUGCCGUGUAAACGGUGUGUGCGCAUUGUACGUUGCAAGGACGACUUCUUGCGAUUUCAUUCGGGAUAAAAUCUUCUUCGUAGUUCGAUGCAAUUAUCAAUCAAUUAUUUUUUAUUUUUUGUUUAUUUGUUUUUAGACGUGGCUAUAUAUGUUAAAUGAAGAAGAUGCAAUGCGUAGUAUUUUUUAUGUUAUUACAUCCGGAUUUUUUUAAACUGAUGUAUAGAGUUUUCUUGAAAUAUGAAUUUUGAAAUUUUUUCGAUAUUUGAAUUUUGGAUUCGGAAACUUAAAAAUGCAAAUGUACACGAAGUAAACUCUAUGAGCUACAUUAGUAUUUUUUAUAAUUCUACUCCGUGUUUGCAACUAGUAAAUUUUCCUCACUUUUGUUUUAUCAGACUAACACAGAGUUGAAUACAUUGCUAUUAUAUGUUUUAUUACUUCUAUAAGAAACUUCUCCAAGGUACUCUAAUAUGUUUCUUCCCGAACAAAUCGUAAACUAACUAGGUAAAUAACGUGGCAGGUGGAACUUUGUUAGCUUAGAAAUCAGAGCGUCGGCGGCGCCACUUUAGAUUUUCUCCAUCAGAUCUUAGCGAUUACAUUGAUUAUUACUGUCACAUAAAACUAUUUAAAAUAUUCAAGAAUAAAAUCCGUAUACACCGUGCAUCCAGAUACAUGCGUCAUAAUUAUACCCGAGAAAUCAUAAAAAUAUUUUGUUGAAUUCAUUUCAACAUACAUUUUGUCGAGAUAGCUGACAAAUUUAAGUAUUUUUCCUUUCCGUGCGCAUGCGCAAAUUGCGUAAUCUAUUCACCAGUCGCAUCAUUGAGUUGACAAAAUACAUACACUAUGCAGAGCGGAAAGAAUGCGGCUUUGAUUGGUCAUAGUAGCCCCACCUUUUUUGGAUAUAUGUAUUUCUGUACCGUAUGGCAAAAAAAAGAUCUCGAAUAUAGUUACUGCCGCUUGAAAAUCACGAUGAACGUGCCGUGUGUCACUGAUUCGGACUUUCAGCCACGCGCGCACAUAAGCCGUCUAAGGAUUUGUCGAUUAGAAAAGGACGCCAUCGACCUUUCUGUCGCGACGGCAGUGACGAUCGGCACGCCAUUGAAUAGCGUUGACGCCUAGCAUCGUGUAUUGACAAUGGCAGCAAUAGCGUAAUCUUAGAAUGUUGAUCAUUAAUGUUUAAAACGUGUCACGGUUGGAUACAGGAAUCCUACUACUAUGUCAACGUCUACCAUUUCAAAAGCUUCAAAGGUCAUUGACGUUCAGAUUUUUGGAGCGGGACAGGGAUCUUUGAAAUUUUGAAACUUUGAAACAACUAUUGCCUUUUUUAUAAUGUAAUAUGUAUAAAAAUACUGUAGUAAUUGUUUAAAUAUGAUUGUACGUGAUAUCAAGACAAAAUAUAUCUUGUAUAUAAUCGUUGAAAUAUUCAAUUGUAUAAUACAAUGAAAUAUAAAGUUAGGGUGGGGCUCAGGCAUAUGAACCUUAACCAAACACUUAACGUAGGUAGAUCAGUAACGAUCGAAUCCCCUAGUUCCUGUAUGUGGCACUAGAUGGUCGCUGGAAGCAACCCUUCUGUUAUAGAAAAAAGUGUCACUCUUGAAACAUUUUCUUGCUACUUAAACAUUUACAUCUUGCUAACUAUGUUAAUCAAAUAUAUGUAUAUGAUACAGUCAUGAAGGUACAUGUGCAUCAUAGAUAUUCAAACGAUACAAAUCACUAUGAAGAUUUUGAGUGACGUGAAUUUUUCUAUGAUUCUGUAAGUUCCUAUUUCGAUAAGAACAUCUAGUUACAUAUAAUUUUAUUAAAUAUUUGAAAGUCUAUUUAAUAGAUAUCAUAAAAGUAAUAUAAAAUAAAUAUGAAAUCAAAUUUUCCCACUUAAACGUUUACACGCAACUAGGGCACGCGAUAGGACAACAGACUUCUAUGUAUUUGGGCUUCCCUCCCCUGCACCGCCAUUUUCCCUCGGGAGCCCACCGUACUCGGUACUGUACUUAAGUAAAAACAAAAUCAGGUGAACGAUUGCAGGUAUGAUUGAAUGAGAUGCAUAAGAUAAGCAGAUAUAUGGAUAAAGUAUACAAUUGAUGAGUGGAAAGAAGACAGGGACACGCUUUCUUUGCCGGGGCGUCGACAUAUCAGCAGUCGGCGAAAGAAGUUCAAUGUGGCGGUAAAGGCAGACGGUAAUGCAGAUUGCGAAUUGGACUUUAGGUGUCUCCUGCUACCGCGUUACACUGUACGUGCACUUCGAACUUCAGCGUUCACGACCUUAAGCAUUUGUGUGCUAUCCUUUCAACCAUUUUCUUUUCUUUCCCAUUCAUGAUUUAUAAACACUAUAUUUCAAAAAUUGUAUCUCUUUGCCGUUUCGAUAACUAAUAAAUGAAUCUUGUAAAUUUGUAAUUCUUAAGUUGCUUACAAGUUAAAUAGAAGAAUAUGUUACAAUACCAGCUUCCAGCGUAGAAGAGAGACUGAUGUAGCCACAAUGGGCAAUGAAAAAAACUGGCGAACACACAACUGGUGAUACACAAUGAAAAAAGCUUUCGAAACUCGAAAGGAUCCAAGAACGUCAAACGCGAGUCUGGCUUGUACGUAUUCAGUUCCCAAGGUUGGUAGGUAUGUAUAAACUUUCCAUGCAAUGUGCGUAGUACCCACUUACUAUCGAAAGGAUCAAUACGGGGAACAUGCACUAACAGCUUGCUUGCUUUUAUGAAUUUCCCUCGCCUAAGACUGUAGGUCACGCAGCAAUACGGUUUUAUCUUUUCUAAGACAAAAAAAAAGUAUUUUCUUUUUGGAAUAAUCGUAAAUAUUUCAUCCGCUUGGUGAUCGAUACAUAUUUUUUAUAAAGUUGGUAUGUGUAUUCCAAUGUAAGAAACUUGUAUUUUCAGAAUGAAAAACGAUCUAUUAUUACGCAGAGUAAUUAAUUAGUCAUUCGAAUGAAUAUGUUAGAUUACGCAACGAUAUGUGUUAUGAGAUUAGUAAGAAACUGUGUGUACAGUUUUCUGAAAAAUUAAUAAUUUUUGAACGUUAACUUGAAUUCUAGAGUUUUGAAUUUUAGCCGAUUAAAUACCGAAUAAGACUAUAAAAAUAUUAUACAUCAAAAUUUGGGCAUUAAAGUUGUUUUUCAACAAGAUGCAACGUAUUGAAUUUCUUUUAAGACAGGGAAUAAACGGAGGUUACCCCGGGGGUGUAGCCUGAAUGUCCUUCACCUUCCCUGACUCACGGCAUUUUGUAAUCGGAUCAACUCGGCGUAACUCGUGUAUAUUCGCAGGUUCCGGAUGUUCAUAAAAAUACUUUCUAUAUUUAAAGAAUAAUUACCAUAGAAAACAUUAGAAAUCACUUAACUAAUUAUUAACAACAGUUUUUUUUUAAAUUCGUUCAAUAAUAAAGAAGAUAAGAAGAAUUAAAGUAAGCUUUGUAUUUUCUGUUGCUUCUUGAUCAAUCUUGCUUUUGACUAGAGUUUGUGGUAUCGCGUGUCAUUCGUGCGUUUUCGUUCGGGAGACGGAACGUCCCGACUGGAUGUCGAAUUUGCACGAGUUCGAAGCCGAGUGGCUAAGAGGUGGAGAAAGAAUGAAGCGUACAAAGAUAAAGAAAAGAAACUAUUCAGAAGCUCUACAACUCGAUUUAACCACGAUUAAAUACACAAGUCAAACACACAACUAUAAAAAGAUAUAUAUUUUCAAUUCUGAAGCUUUUACUACUACACUAGUUGUGACGUUGACAGUUUCUCUAAUAUGCACCUUAAAAGAUAACCCCUCCUACAUGCAUUUCAUUUUUUUUUUGCACUUAAUAUUCGCGAAGAAAAAUCUGAAAAAAUUCACAACUACCCUCCCAGUUGAGGUAGAGGAUUGAAAAUUCGUGUACUACAUUUUCUUUUGACAAGCUAUGGAAAGGUGCAUUGCCAAGUAAAAUCGGUUCAAGGUUACUUUUGACCAUUCUGUCCUGCUAUAUUGCUCUACCCCUUGGUUUAUGAACGUCGUGAUGUAACAUAGGUCAACAAGUAAAACAUCAAUCUCUAUGGAACAUUGAUGAAUGCACCGAGGAAGGCUCGAAGCCCUCGGAAGCUGCGUUUCAAGUGGCAUCCGCCGGAGGCAAGUAGUGUCACCAAAGGUAGGGGAACUGCAACUGCAGCGGAAGGAAAGAGGGGGCGUGCACAUUCGACUUCUCCCGAAGCGAAACGACGCGACACGAUCGGCCGCUGCUCUACUGAACGGCGUCGAGUGUUGUAUAUGUCAGAGUAAAAGCGUUGAACUCAGUAAAUGUGUACAUUUACUAGUCAAUCUAUUCAUUUAUUAAUAAUUAACAGAAUAGCAAUAUAAUUUUAUUUACUUACUCCUUUAAACUAUAUAUUUUGAAACUUAAAAAUUUGAAUUUUGGAAUUCUGGAGUACUGAAAUUUUGAAAUCCAGUUAAUGCUAUACUGUCAGUAUAAUAUUAAAGGAAUGCUAUUCAAAACACUUUUCUUUUUUCUUUUACUAAUUAUUACAUUUGAGGUGUUGGUCAUCAAUGACCACCACGGUAUCGAAUGUAUUAAUAUUUAGUUGAUAUUUUUGUGAAAAAGUGUACUCGUAAAAUUUUGCACUUUUACUGUAACAUUUCUAAAAUGACGGCACGUCGACUGGCCGUCUGCUCUGACCGGUGUUACGCUAUUGCAUGUACGCAACUUGUGUGCUUACGCGAUAGAGGGUGGUUUUCGUAUUGAUUCGUACAAUGCUUCUCUGUAUUACCGACUCCUCGUAAACUUUCUUCAGACAAGAUCAAUAAUGCUAAAAAUAGUUAACAUCACCGAAAACUAUUUCUAAAAGAGAAACAUUCCUUAGCAAGUUGAUAACCAACGAUUCACGUAUAUUAUGUACUGAAUUCAAUGAUGCGUAUAACGAAUAUGUUUGAACAAUAAAUUAUCAGUUAUUUGUAUGAAUAUUGGUGUGAAAUAUUGAAUUGAUAAUAUUAACAACAAUUAAAUUGAGCCAACCCAAUAUACAAUUAUAGAUCUGUUUACAACCCACAUCUCAGAAUCGUGUAAAUAUAGCCACUGAUGUAUGUAUAGAAUAAAAUAAAUCUUGAAACUUUUUAUGUAAUUUAUGAACAAACAGAUUCUCUACGAAAUUUGUUUUGAUGAUUAUAUUUGACGUGAUUAAUUAAGAAUGUGCUCGUGCAUUCGCAGUCUCCAAUUUACGGUAUGUUUAAAUAAACUUACCAUUUGAUGAGUCUAACUAUCCAAAUGGCUCAAAUAGCAAAUCUAUAAGAAAAUUAAUAUAUGAAGAUCUCCAAACAUAAAAAUAGAUACACAUUAAAUAAUAACACUAAAAAUGAUAAAGAUACGACGGAAACUGACGAACCACUAACCAGUGGUUAGCAAUAUUGCUCAAAAUAAGAAAAAGUAUAAUUGCCUACUAGUUUAUUCAUAAAAAAAGCAUGCACAACAAGUAGACUAAUGUUUUGCACUUUUAACGAGUUUUCUUUUCAUGAGAAAUCGAAACAAAGGGUGAGAAAUGGAAUUAUUGCAGUAAUUCUAAGUGCAAGAAGUGGUACUUUGUUAUAAGUGGGAUUUCCUAGGAAAAAUGGCGAUCUAGGAGAAGAAAGCGCUACCGCUCGUGUGUAAAUGUUCGCUAGAUAUCUGAUUUAAUACUUAUUUUACUGUUAAUAUUUUUUGAAAUUUUAAGAAACUUUAGAAAUUCUAGAAUUUUGCGAUCUUGAAAUUUGAAUUUUCAAAUUUUAAAAUCUAAACAUUUACCUAAUAUCUAAUUAAAAAGUUUCAAUUAGCAUAUAAUAUUGUAAAACGCGACACCAAACAGGUGUUAUUUGUUUUCAAUUAAAAACCAACAAAAGAUAAAUAAAGAUACUUAUAUUCUAACAUUUCAACGAACGUUGAACGUGUUUAUCACGUUGUAUUCUUUUCGAUCAACUAAGCCCAGCACACCUACAAACUUUCACUCGGAAUUAAAGGAAGAACGGUACGCUCGUGUGUUACGAAGUCUAACGAUUCCAUCCGAAAAUUGGCGAACGACAGGUGCGUUAUUUCCUUGUCACGUCGAAAACUGUAUCCGCUAACAUGACUCGAAUACAACGUUCUUAACAUCUGUAUCUCAAUAGUAUAUUGAAUUUCAUCGAUAACGUUCUAAAAAGAGCGAAUUAAAAAAGAAAAACAAUAUGGAAGAAAGUAAGCGGUCAAGAUAAAAAUUGAGUAUCGGAGAUUGUUGCUUACGUAACAGCCUUCGGACAUUCUUAAAGCGUACACACAAGCCACGCCACGCCACAGUGUGAUUAAUCAGAGCACGGAGACACGUGAUGCAAAAAAUCUGGCAACAGCGUAUAUAAUGGUGUAUUACUAUUCGUAACCACCGCGCCGAGUUCGGCAGACCAAUGUUACGCACGCUAAUUGGCCUCUGUACAUUAUCCGUGCGCCAAUCAGCCGCGGCGACUCUCUCGCGCUCUCCACUUCCGAUUUCUAUUGCCUUCAGGGACGUGCCUAUUAGAUCGCUACGCACCUUCUGUUCGCCAAUACAAACACUACACAACAUGCCGGAUGGGGGCGGGUACACACAAGUGAUAGGGGCCCCUUUCGCUACAUAGUCAUUUUGGAGAAGGAUGCCCGCGGGGAAGGACGAAAAUCUGGGACCAUCGCCACUUUUCUUGGGGACGCCUAACGUGGUCGCGAGUGUACCAUUAUUAGAAAUUUAUUUUUGAAAUUUGCAAUGUUUUCACUAAAGUUCAAAUACUGCACAACGUAUUAAAAGAAGCAAUUUCCUGUUUCACUGGGACGAUGACGCACACGCGGAUAAGAAACGAUAACGUUAUAUCCGUAUCGAGCAAAUUUCAUAAUGAAAAACAGAAAAAUAUAAAGUGUAUAAAUGA